UUUUACAUAUUCAAGCAUUUAAGACAACUAUAAUCGUACAGAGAAAAUUAGCAUGAUAUCUGCGUAAGGAUGACACGUACAAAAGACAACUAUAAUCGUUUGUC